rnacentral:rRNA from 1 species
GAUGAACGCUAGCGAUAGGCUUAACACAUGCAAGUCGAGGGGCAGCAUGGUCUUAGCUUGCUAAGGCUGAUGGCGACCGGCGCACGGGUGCGUAACGCGUAUGCAACUUGCCUCACAGAGGGGGAUAACCCGUCGAAAGACGGACUAAUACCGCGUACACUCUAUGUUGGGCAUCCAAUGUAGAGGAAAUGAAAUUCGCUGUGAGAUAGGCAUGCGUCCCAUUAGCUAGUUGGUGAGGUAACGGCUCACCAAGGCGACGAUGGGUAGGGGAACUGAGAGGUUGAACCCCCGCACUGGUACUGAGACACGGACCAGACUCCUACGGGAGGCAGCAGUGAGGAAGAUUGGUCAAUGGGCGAGGGCCUGAACCAGCCAAGUCGCGUGAAGGAUGACUGUCUUAUGGAUUGUAAACUUCUUUUAUACGGGAAUAACAAGAGUCACGUGUGGCUCCCUGCAUGUACCGUAUGAAUAAGCAUCGGCUAACUCCGUG